rnacentral:rRNA from 1 species
UUUACGGGAGGCAGCAGUGAGGAAUAUUGGUCAAUGGACGAGAGUCUGAACCAGCCAAGUAGCGUGAAGGAUGACUGCCCUAUGGGUUGUAAACUUCUUUUAUAAGGGAAUAAAGUGAAGUAUGUGUACUCUUUUGUAUGUACCAUAUGAAUAAGGAUCGGCUAACUCCGUGCCAGCAGCCGCGGUAAUACGGAGGAUCCGAGCGUUAUCCGGAUUUAUUGGGUUUAAAGGGAGCGUAGGCGGAUGUUUAAGUCAGUUGUGAAAGUUUGCGGCUCAACCGUAAAAUUGCAGUUGAUACUGGAUAUCUUGAGUGCAGUUGAGGUAGGCGGAAUUCGUGGUGUAGCGGUGAAAUGCUUAGAUAUCACGAAGAACUCCGAUUGCGAAGGCAGCCUGCUAAGCUGCAACUGACAUUGAGGCUCGAAAGUGUGGGUAUCAAACAGGAUUAGAUACCCUGGUAGUCC